GACGAACGCUGGCGGCGUGCUUAACACAUGCAAGUCGAACGGAAAGGCCCUGCUUGCAGGGUACUCGAGUGGCGAACGGGUGAGUAACACGUGGGUGAUCUGCCCUGCACUUCGGGAUAAGCUUGGGAAACUGGGUCUAAUACCGGAUAGGAGCCAUCUUUAGUGUGGUGGUUGGAAAGUUUUUCGGUGUAGGAUGAGCUCGCGGCCUAUCAGCUUGUUGGUGGGGUAAUGGCCUACCAAGGCGGCGACGGGUAGCCGGCCUGAGAGGGUGUACGGCCACAUUGGGACUGAGAUACGGCCCAGACUCCUACGGGAGGCAGCAGUGGGGAAUAUUGCACAAUGGGCGCAAGCCUGAUGCAGCGACGCCGCGUGGGGGAUGAAGGCCUUCGGGUUGUAAACUCCUUUCGCUAGGGACGAAGCUUUGUUGUGACGGUACCUAGAUAAGAAGCACCGGCUAACUACGUG
rnacentral:rRNA from 1 species